rnacentral:rRNA from 1 species
CCUACGGGAGGCUGCAGUGGGGAAUAUUGCACAAUGGGCGAAAGCCUGAUGCAGCAAUGCCGCGUGUGUGAAGAAGGCCUGCGGGUUGUAAAGCACUUUCGGUAGGGAAGCGGUACCUACAGAAGAAGCACCGGCUAACUCCGUGCCAGCAGCCGCGGUAAUACGGAGGGUGCAAGCGUUAAUCGGAAUUACUGGGCGUAAAGCGCGCGUAGGCGGUUUUGUAAGUCGGAUGUGAAAGCCCCGGGCUUAACCUGGGAAUUGCAUUCGAUACUGCGUGACUAGAGUAUGGUAGAGGGAAGCGGAAUUCCGGGUGUAGCGGUGAAAUGCGUAGAUAUCCGGAGGAACACCAGUGGCGAAGGCGGCUUCCUGGACCAUCUGACGCUGAGGCGCGAAAGCGUGGGGAGCAAACAGGAUUAGAUACCCUUGUAGUC